rnacentral:rRNA from 1 species
AGUGAACGCUGGCGGCAGGCCUAAUACAUGCAAGUCGAACGGCAGCACAGCAGAGCUUGCUCUGUGGGUGGCGAGUGGCGGGCGGGUGAGGAAUACGUGGGAAUCUGCCCAGUCGUGGGGAUAACGUAGGGAAACUUACGCUAAUACCGCAUGCGCCUUCGGGGAAAGCCGGGGACCUUCGGGCCUGGCGCGAUUGGAUGAGCCCACGUCGGAUUAGCUAGUUGGCGGGGUAAAGGCCCACCAAGGCGACGAUCCGUAGCUGGUCUGAGAGGAUGAUCAGCCACACUGGAACUGAGACACGGUCCAGACUCCUACGGGAGGCAGCAGUAGGGAAUAUUGGACAAUGGGCGCAAGCCUGAUCCAGCCAUGCCGCGUGAGUGAAGAAGGCCCUCGGG